rnacentral:antisense_RNA from 1 species
UUUGGUGACUGUGCUUGACUCCCCGUUAGCCAGUUACCUUGGUUAAAAAACUUGCCGGUUUUUUAACCUUCGAAAAAACCACCUUGCCGGGUGGUUUUUUUGU